GGCAGGGACCAGUUUUGUGUUAUAGACCUCAUAAAAGACUCCCUUGCUCUUGGUGUCUCUGAAAAGCUGUUAAAGCUGGUACAUGAACAACAUCUGGUAUAAGAAACCCAGAUCACAGAGAGUUUCCAAGAUGAGCUUUCUCAUCAUGGCAGUGUGUUGAAGCAGUGACUGACAUUUCUUGCAGGGUGACAGCAAAAGCUGUUUGAGCAGAUGAAGUGAUGCUAUCAGGAAUUUGAAAGCAAAGUUGGCUGUGGAUAAAUAAGUGGACAACAGUCUGUGGCUCGAGAACCUAGAUAACUGACUGCAUUUUGUCCUGAGAUGGACAAGAGGAGCAAGAAUAUUCUUUCUUCCACACAUAAGUAAACUACUUAUUUACCGUUUUUGAAAAAUUAGCCCAAAUCAGAAGUCAUAAUUCAACUUUUUAUAUAGACACAUUGGGAAAUGUUAUUUGUUUUUACUAGCAAAGUAACAAGUGAAGGAACUUCAAGAAUUUAUUGCUUUGCUGUACAAUGAUGCUUUGGAUAUAGGAAAGUGAAUGAUACCUUCUUUUGUGUAGGAUAAAUAUUCUACCUGUACAUUGUAGGCAAAAUGCAGAAACCUGUGUCAAUAACAUGUGAUAUAAACAGACGUCUGUUCUCUCCAUGUUCCUUAGUUUUGCAAAGUGAACUCUUUUUGGCUCAUUAAAAUUUUGAGGAAUUAUCUUUUAGUUGGUUCUUUAGUGCCACUCUGAAACUUUAUGUUCAUUUCUUUCAACUGUCAUCAAAUGUUUCAGUGCCUACUGUGUGUUAGGAUCUGUUUAAGAAACUUAAGAAAAUCCAGACUCUGAGAAGUUAUCUGUAAAAGUGCUUCCUCC
rnacentral:lncRNA from 1 species